CCUACGGGAGGCAGCAGUGGGGAAUAUUGCACAAUGGGCGCAAGCUGAUGCAGCAACGCCGCGUGCGGGAUGACGGCCUUCGGGUUGUAAACCGCUUUUAGUAGGGAAGAAGCCUUCGGGUGACGGUACCUGCAGAAAAAGGACCGGCUAACUACGUGCCAGCAGCCGCGGUAAUACGUAGGGUCCGAGCGUUGUCCGGAAUUAUUGGGCGUAAAGAGCUCGUAGGCGGUUUGUCGCGUCUGCUGUGAAAACUAGAGGCUCAACCUCUAGCCUGCAGUGGGUACGGGCAGACUUGAGUGGUGUAGGGGAGACUGGAAUUCCUGGUGUAGCGGUGGAAUKCGCAGAUAUCAGGAGGACACCGAUGGCGAAGGCAGGUCUCUGGGCACUUACUGACGCUGAGGAGCGAAAGCGUGGGGAGCGAACAGGAUUAGAUACCCUGGUAGUCCACGCCGUAAACGUUGGGCGCUAGAUGUGGGGACCUUUCCACGGUUUCCGUGUCGUAGCUAACGCAUUAAGCGCCCCGCCUGGGGAGUACGGCCGCAAGGCUAAAACUCAAAGGAAUUGACGGGGGCCCGCACAAGCGGCGGAGCAUGCGGAUUAAUUCGAUGCAACGCGAAGAACCUUACCAAGGCUUGACAUACACGAGAACGGGCCAGAAAUGGUCAACUCUUUGGACACUCGUGAACAGGUGGUGCAUGGUUGUCGUCAGCUCGUGUCGUGAGAUGUUGGGUUAAGUCCCGCAACGAGCGCAACCCUCGUCGCAUGUUGCCAGCACGUUAUGGUGGGGACUCAUGUGAGACUGCCGGGGUCAACUCGGAGGAAGGUGGGGAUGACGUCAAAUCAUCAUGCCCCUUAUGUCUUGGGCUUCACGCAUGCUACAAUGGCCGGUACAAAGGGCUGCGAUGUCGUAAGGCGGAGCGAAUCCCAAUCCCAAAAAGCCGGUCUCAGUUCGGAUUGAGGUCUGCAACUCGACCUCAUGAAGUCGGAGUCGCUAGUAAUCGCAGAUCAGCAACGCUGCGGUGAAUACGUUCCCGGGCCUUGUACACACCGCCCGUCAAGUCAUGAAAGUCGGUAACACCCGAAGCCGGUGGCCUAACCCUUGUGGAGGGAGCCGUCGAAGGUGGGAUUGGUGAUUAGGACUAAGUCGUAACAAGGUAGCCGU
rnacentral:rRNA from 1 species